UUUUUUUCCGGUAGUAACGUUUCUUCUGCCUUUCUGGGUAGAUCGGAACGUGGAGUAGUGAGGGGGAGCUUAUGGAAGUUGACACUCUUCUGCAUGAUGAGAAGUCCACUCUUCUGCAACCGUCUAUCAAUUUGCAUCGACUUAACACUUUUACACACCUUCUGAAAGAGGGUGUCGCUCAUGAGAUCAGUGGUUUUGAUGUUACAAGAUUAACACCCACUGCUAGCUGUCAGAUUCCCCGUUGUCAUUCGCUUCAAAAUUCUUACGAAGUUUGUUGAAAUCACAACUCCUCCUGCUGCAAUAUCUCUUGAGCUCUUUAGGUUCCAUGACUACGGACUGCUCAUGCAUUACCAAAUACUAACCAUAGUUGCCAGACGUCUUAAGGUUUGUUGGUGUGAUCAAGUCUACCUUCAGUGACCAUGAGCAGAGUACUCAGCCCAUUAUGGUUGACCCACAGGUUGACAGGUGCGAACCCUAUUUCAUUUAGACUGCUUUUUUUUCCUUUCCAUCCUUUUGUUUUAAAUCUGCAUCUACACUUCAAUACAACUCGACAUUUGUGUGUCUGAGUGAUUUGGCAUAUACUUUCCAGCUUAAUCUUACUAAUUUCAAUUUCUACACGAGGCAUCGGACCUUCACUCUGUCCCACAUCUUUUAUCGCCAUCAUUGUCCAGCUGCAGCGAUGUUUUCAUGGAAUGUUUAUUUUUCUCAUAGU